GCCGGUAUAGCUCAGAUGGUAGAGCAUUCCACUUGUAAUGGAAAGGCCCCGUGUUCAAUUCAUGGUGCCGGCACCA
rnacentral:tRNA from 1 species